UGUUAUCAGCUUUUAUACUUGAAUUUUCAUAUGUUAUGAUGUUUUAUCUGGUCACAGAUAUAUCAUAUUAAGGUGCAUGUUAAAUUUCUGUUUGACUAUAGCCCUUUUUUUGUUGAUGCCUAGGGUUUUUUUUCUUAAAGUGUUAUGAUCAUGGUGAAUAUUGGUUUGGGCUAUGUGUUGCUUUCACAAGGAUCUCACUGGGGUAACAGCUUGCAUUGCUGUCUUCUGCUACAGUGUCUUUUCGGGCCUACUGGGGGUUUCCAAUGUCACAAAUGUUCACAUCCAGCUAAUGGUGGCAUUAAUAUCAUCAGCAGUUAUCUAAAACAAAUAUUCAGAGAAAACCUGAAACAACAAGUCUGGCGACGGUUACAAAAUGCCUAUCUACACCUCUAAAACUCCGAAAGGAACAUGUUAUAUCCUGUUUGUUUAAUCUGUAC